GGGGGAUAUUGCACAAUGGAGGAAGCUCUGAUGCAGCAACGCCGCGUGAGGGAAGAAGGUCUUCGGAUUGUAAACCUUUGUCCUUGGUGACGAAACAAAUGACGGUAGCCAAGGAGGAAGCUCCGGCUAACUACGUGCCAGCAGCCGCGGUAAUACGUAGGGAGCAAGCGUUGUCCGGAUUUACUGGGUGUAAAGGGUGCGUAGGCGGCCCUGCAAGUCAGGCGUGAAAGGCGGAGGCUUAACCUCCGAGCUGCGUUUGAAACUGUGGGGCUUGAGGGAAGUAGAGGUAGGCGGAAUUCCCGGUGUAGCGGUGAAAUGCGUAGAGAUCGGGAGGAACACCAGUGGCGAAGGCGGCCUACUGGGCUUUAACUGACGCUGAAGCACGAAAGCAUGGGGAGCAAAC
rnacentral:rRNA from 1 species